GGCCCCCUGCUAUUGAGCAGCCUGACCGCUGGGUGCAGCUGCCUUCUCAUUCUCGGUUCGUUUGCGUACCGAAUCCAAGGUUGCUUGUGUGGGCUACCCUAGUUUGGGGUAAGAGUAGCAUCAGAUGGGUUGCUUGUUCGGCUUUGCCUGGCAUUCUUGCCCGGUCGUCGCCUCUCGUUGUGGCUGGGCGCAUCCUUGUGGCAAUUCGACAUUCUGCGGUUGACACGAGGCUGUUGCGCCGACACAUUCUCGGUUCCUCGGGUGCGGUUGAACAUGUGGUCAUAGGGGUCUCCUCGAGGCGCCCUUUGUCCCUGACCCAAUGUGGUCGCCGGUUGGUUCGGAGGUCCCUCGGCGAGGCGAUGGGCUUCGGCUCUAUCGUCUCCGCCGACACCGUCGCUGUGCUACCUGGUUGAUCCUGCCAGUAGUCAUAUGCUUGUCUCAAAGAUUAAGCCAUGCAUGUGCAUGUAUGAACAAAUUCGGACUGUGAA
rnacentral:misc_RNA from 1 species